UACGUAGGGGGCUAGCGUUGUCCGGAAUCAUUGGGCGUAAAGCGCGUGUAGGCGGCCCGGUAAGUCCGCUGUGAAAGUCGGGGGCUCAACCCUCGGAUGCCGGUGGAUACUGUCGGGCUCGAGUACGGAAGAGGCGAGUGGAAUUCCUGAUGUAACGGUGAAAUGCGCAGAUAUCAGGAGGAACACCAAUUGCGAAGGCAGCUCGCUGGGACGUUACUGACGCUGAGACGCGAAAGCGUGGGGAGCGAACAGG
rnacentral:rRNA from 1 species